rnacentral:lncRNA from 1 species
AGAUUUAUCUCCUGUAUUUAUGCAUUCACCAGGAGAAGCAAGAGUUGAUGAUUGAUCUGAGGAAAGAAUUGAAGAUUUCUUAUGAUGAACACAAAGAGAUUGUUCGCGAAACAAAUACUGAUGAAACUCUAAACAGCAUACGGUAUAGUAAUUAUUUCAAUAGUUGCAAUGAUGGAGCAAAAAAAAUUGACAUAGUUCAGUUGGUUCUGCAAUUUUACAAGGUCAUGUGAAUAAUAAUAUGGAAAAUUCAAUCAGGAAUUGGAGACGAACUAGAAGUUACCAACCUGCAGGAUGCAGCACAUCUCAGCCUGUUCGUGAUGUUUUACCUAUUCCAACUGAUUCAACUCCAAGAAAGAGACCGAAGACAACCAAUCUGGUACCACCUAGUCUUUUUGUGUAAUAUAUCAUGUGUGGUGUGAUCUUUAACAGCACUAAUAGUAGCUUCAUGCAUUGCGAAAGCACAGCUAAAUUUGAUGGAGCUGCUUUAGGGUCCAAAAGCCAAAGGCCUAAUAAUAUCACUACAAUUCAUUUUGUUUAACUCAGAAAGGGGAAUGAAAUAACAAGCAUUGAUGCCCUUUUUCUCUAAUAAUUUGGCACCAGAUUUACCUGGACCCUGCACAUAUCGGAGCUUUAUAGUACUAGGUUGCCUUUUCUAUUUUGAAUUUGGCACCAGCUUUAGCCAUUGCCUAAUUUGCCUUCAGUAAAGUCUGUGCAGUAUUCUUCUGCUGGACCAUCCAGAGAACAUCACGUCAGAGAUUGCAAUUUGUAUAGUUCUCUUCCAUCUAAAGCACCUGCUCAAGCAGAAGAAUUAGAUCGACUAAUUGGGAGGAAAGCUAUGAUUAGAUGGCCUUCGGACGAGCAAUUUUAUGAGGUUACCAUUACUGAGUACGACCCUUCACAGGUAUACUUAGGUUGCAAUAACUGUCAAAAUCCAUCACUAUUUUACAUCUAUCUUGUAAGGCAAAUGCCUCAUUCUUUGAAUUUUCAUUGGGCUAAUUCACUUUGGAUGUUGAUGUAAAAUAGGUGAACAAGUCUAGAUCUUUCACACGUAAAAAAACAUCUUUUUUAUUUGGGUUUAGUUUCAUCAUAUACAGGUUACAGAAAAAGACAAAUAUUCAAAUGCAUUUAUGAUUCAUAUGCAAAAAUAGAAAAGGGUCUUUAAUGGCUACAACCAGUUUUAUAUAUGAAUCCCUCCCCACUCACCCAGAUGGUACAACAAUGCUUAGAUUUGAUUUGUUUAAGCCAUAGGUCAUAAACAUCAAAAGUGCUAUUAUUGCAGUAUUCUAAGAAUGUUACAAAAAUUUUAACCAGUCUUAAUUUUUUUUUAUUUUUUGCAGGGCAUGCAUAAGCUGGUUUAUGAUAACAAUGAAGUAAAUGAGACUUUUGAAUGGUCUGAUAUCAACCAGGUACUAACAUGUUUAGAUGCAUUUGGUAAAGCAGUAACUAAAUAUGUUUUAGCUGUUAAAUUGAAUGAAGCAACAUUGCAAAUAUGUCAAUGAAAGACAUAACAUCAAACUGUGUAACAUGACUACAGAACUCAAAAAUAAUCCUUCAAGGUGACAACAUCCAAAGCCAAUGGCUUUUUGGCUCAAUAUUCCCUUAAAAUGGAUUAAGAAACUGAGAGACUCUUGAGCAUGCUUUUAAUGUUACAUAGCAAAACAUGUUCACUAGAUUCAAAAGAACCUAAGAAUAACCAAGUCUGUUAAGGUUACCAACAAAAGCAUUUAAAGACUAGUAGAAUGACAUCUGGAAUUUGAAUCAUGGAUCAUUCAUAAAAAGCAAAUUGAACCCUCCUCUGAUUUUCCUUUAAUAAUGGCCUAAAGUCUAAAGGUAUAUCCCAAUAUCCAUCACUAACCGUCGACUAGUGAUUCCAGUUAUUGCUUUUAUUUGGCAAUGGAGAAACAAAUCGAGAUGGUUUAUCUUCUCUAAUCUUGAGUUAAUGCAGCCAUUAUCUUCAGUCAAGUGCAUUUCUAUUUCUCCCUCAGUAACUACACGAAUGAAUAAAUGAAUGAAUAAGUAUGCAGAAACUUCUACUACUAGUCAUACAUACACGGUUUAACAAACAAAAGUAAAAAUCCUGGCUCAACAUUAGAUAAGGCUAAAAUAUCUGAUUACUUUAACUUCAGAUAAUAUAGGGUUACAGAGGACCUAAAAAACAGUCUAUUGAAGAAGUUUCUAUGAAUUUUAAGUAACAGAACACACAAGGUUUUUGUCACUUUUUAAGUAAUGACUUUUGUCUAUGUGCCUAACCAAUCAUACAUUCAUAUUAUGUUUGCUAGUUUGAGCAAACAUAAAUCAUGUUUCCUCAAACUUUAUUAGUAGCUUGUUUAAAAAAAGGAUUAUUUAUUAUUUACAAAAUGAGUAAGCAGAUAUCAAGAUAUGUGCAUUUAUCAAAACAUAUUGAUUACAGAUCCCACGUGAAGAUAUACAGUGGAUAGGUGAAGAUCCAGGCACAGACCUUAGAGUCGGGCAUAGUGGCCGCGAAGGUGAUAAUACUGUAGGUGCUGAAAGGAGAGUACAUUUUAAUUUGGAGGCCAAUGAAGAAUUUCCCCUACAACAAAAUGUUAUUGGAAACAGAGUUGAGCAUGACCUUGUGUUGCUGAAUACAGAUGUGUUGAUUAAGGAGGUGAUUGACUUGCCUGAGUAAUCUUUUCGAGGAUAAGAGUUAAACAAAAAGAGGAAACUCUUUAAUUUUUUAACAAUGCUUAUAUUUUAACAGGUGGAGGAUAUUAUAGUGGUUAGUUCUCCAAAUUCUUUGGAACUUGAGAGUGCAAAGCAAAAACUGAAAGUAUGACCACUGGCCAUCCUGCAGUUCAUUCUUUUUUACCUUCUUGUUCCAUGGUUAAUAAUAGUGUAAAUGUUGACUUUACAGGAGCAUGAGCAGGAUCUUUUAAGAGCACUUGCGUUACUCAAAAAGCUUUCAGAUGCACCUGAUAGAGAAAGUGGUAUGUUAUAGCCAUUUCUUUCCUCUUUUUUGUUUCAGGUUAACAAAAGUUAGCUUUUGUAAUUGGGAAAAUAUAAUUGUUUACUAUGCUUCAGUGACAGAGUUGUUUGUUUGGAAAUCUGGUUAUGUAUCUUAAAGAUUAAGAACAAUUGGUUUAGGUUGUUUGUAUAUCACAAAUGUUUAUGUUAUGGUUGUAAUUUGUAAAUGUAACUAUUUACUAUGAGCUCUAUUCACUGAUGCAGGGGGAAAUUAAUGGAGAAGGGAUAACAUUACAGAACCUGCAUGCUUAGCAGAUGGAAUCAUCUUCGAAAGUGAUCCUUAGCUCUCAUUAUGUUUUAUUGAAAUCAGAUUGCUGAUUGAUGCAUAGAAAACUGUUGCUCCUAUAGGAACCAACUGCAUCUAAUGACCAACUAGAACAUCCUACUGAUGCAAUCUUACUAUCAUUUAGCCAACCCCACCUAGUGGGAUAAAUGUUUGGUCGUUGUUGUUGUUCAUGACUUUAAAAUGUAUAUAUGUCCAAUUAAGUUCUCAAUGGCAAUUUAGAAAAUAGAUACCUCACAUUUAUCAAGCUCAGCAUUAAUUUUCCACACUUAUGCAAAUGUACAACCAUUUUUUUUUUUUUGAAAAGUUAACAAAAAAAGCAUCCAACGCACCUUCAUGUUCACUAUGCUUAACGCCAUUCAAUCAUUGAUGUCAUACAUCAAAAGGGUAGCCCAAUGCAUGCCUGUGUUUGGGGAGGGUAGAUGUAUAUAGUCCCGUGAGUGGAGAGGUUGUUUUCAGGAUUUAAAAUCGUGACCUCUUGGUUUUUGGCAACCUUAACAUACCAUUCAAUCAUGAUCUUGUACAUAUUCUACGAAUCUCUUUGUCACCACUCCCAUCCCAAAACUUUAAACCUAUAACACAAAACAUUAAGACAGUGGAAACUAUAUAAGCAUCUGGAUAGACGGAAAAACGAUAUCAAACGAACACUCGAUGGAAUUGGUGAUCAUGAUAAAAAGCUUACAAUUACUUCCCACCAUUCGUGUUGGCAAGAAAAUUGUGGAAUCGUGUUGAUUCCUCCAUCUGAAAGUGGCUAUGCAUCGGAUUUACUUCAACUUGAGCAAUAGACAUAAACUUCCAUCUGUGACACUAUGGGAUCCAUCUCAUGCUGCAUCAAUUUAUUUUGAUCCUGCGAUCGAAUACUAAUCUGAAGAUUUUGUGCUGCUGAAACCAUAAGUUGGGCUUGGGCGAAACUGUAAGAUAUUUGUAUUCAAAUGAUGAAAUUCCACCGAAGUAUUGAUCUAAUAAAGAAUGAAAUUAUGGAAACAGAAUAUUCGACCCAUAAUUUAUAAAAUUCUUAACAAAAUGUGAGAGAUCGAGAAAUAUCCCAUCCCCAAAUAAAAUAGAAAAAACGGAAACUAUAUAAAGCAUUCAAAAGGACGCACAAACAAAACGUUUCACAGAAUCUUCUCAUCCCUCCCUUUAUAACAUUCUCUUCAUUUUCUUCACUCUUUUCUUGUGCUCUUUUCACUCUCUCACUCUCUCUCAAGAACUCACAUUACAUAUAGCCAUUGACCCUGGAUCCUCAGUCAGGUUUGGUUCCAUGGUUGUGGUCCUGCGUUCCUAUGUUCAAUAGUCAAUUCAUUCAUAUUACACAAAUCUAUUAUAUGCUAAAUUAACAUGUAACUAUGAUGGAUAAGCAUUAACUAAGAAGGAUGGCUA